GUGAAUCAUCGAAUCUUUGAACGCAAAUUGCACUCUCCUCGGAGAGUAUGCCUGUUUGAGUGUCAGCCUAUAAAAAAUCGACAUCGUUGCUGUUUCGCGGUGGCGUUCGUCGGAAAUUGGGUCAUCUUAAAUCCUUUCGUUUUUUAAUCGGUUAAAAUUUUUCUUUUUGAUUCUAUUAACAUUCUUAAUUUUU
rnacentral:misc_RNA from 1 species